rnacentral:rRNA from 1 species
CAAGUCGAACGCUCACCUUCGGGUGGGAGUGGCAGACGGGUGAGUAACACGUGGGAACGUACCCUUUGGUUCGGGACAACUCUGGGAAACUGGAGCUAAUACCGGAUACGCCCUUUUGGGGAAAGGUUUACUGCCGAAGGAUCGGCCCGCGUCUGAUUAGCUAGUUGGUGGGGUAACGGCCUACCAAGGCGACGAUCAGUAGCUGGUCUGAGAGGAUGAUCAGCCACACUGGGACUGAGACACGGCCCAGACUCCUACGGGAGGCAGCAGUGGGGAAUAUUGGACAAUGGGCGCAAGCCUGAUCCAGCCAUGCCGCGUGAGUGAUGAAGGCCUUAGGGUUGUAAAGCUCUUUUAUCCGGGACGAUAAUGACGGUGCCGGAGGAAUAAGCCCCGGCUAACUUCGUGCCAGCAGCCGCGGUAAUACGAAGGGGGCUAGCGUUGCUCGGAAUCACUGGGCGUAAAGGGCGCGUAGGCGGCGUUUUAAGUCGGGGGUGAAAGCCUGUGGCUCAACCACAGAAUGGCCUUCGAUACUGGGACGCUUGAGUCUGGUAGAGGUUGGUGGAACUGCGAGUGUAGAGGUGAAAUUCGUAGA